GCUCCCUCCACAGAUUUUCUAUGGGAUUAAGGUCUGGAGACUGGCUAGGCCACUCCAGGACCUUAAUGUGCUUCUUCUUGAGCCACUCCUUUGUUGCCUUGGCCGUGUGUUUUGGGUCAUUGGCCAUUUACCCAUACACAAUCCAUGUAUCAAGGCUUGAAAAUCCUUCUUUAACUUGUCUCCUCACUUUCAUCUACACUGAUUUGAAGUGGAUUUAACAGGUGAAACAUCAAUAAGGGAUCAUAGCGCUCACCUGGAUUCACCUGGUCAGUCUGUCAUGGAAAUAAUCUAAUCCUAAUGUCUUGUCAGCUCAGUGAGCACAUGUGUGCUGAGGUGCAGAGAAUCAGAGCAGGAGGUCAGUCCUGUUAGAAUCAGAGCAGGAGGUCAGUCCUGUUAGGGAUAGAAUCAGAGCAGGAGGUCAGUCCUGUUAGAAUCAGAGCAGGUGGUCAGUCCUGUUAGGGAUAGAAUCAGAGCAGGUGGUCAGUCCUGUUAGGGAUAGAAUCAGAGCAGGUGGUCAGUCCUGUUAGGGAUAGAAUCAGAGCAGGAGGUCAGUCCUGUUGGAAUCAGAGCAGGAGGUCAGUCCUGUUAGAAUCAGAGCAGGAGGUCAGUCCUGUUAGAAUCAGAGCAGGUGGUCAGUCCUGUUAGAAUCAGAGCAGGAGGUCAGUCCUGUUAGGGAUAGAAUCAGAGCAGGAGGUCAGUCCUGUUAGAAUCAGAGCAGGUGGUCAGUCCUGUUGGAAUCAGAGCAGGAGGUCAGUCCUGUUAGAAUCAGAUGUGUACCUAAAACUAUAA
rnacentral:lncRNA from 1 species